GGUUCUAUGGUGUAGCGGUCAGCACUUCGGAUUCUGAUUCAAACAUCCAUUCCGGCGACCCCGGUUCGAUUCCGGGUAGGACCU